rnacentral:rRNA from 1 species
GCAUAAUCAUUAGUUUUUUAAUUGAGAACUGGAAUGAAUGGUUGGACGAAAUAAUAACUGUCUUAUAAUAAUUUAUAAUAGAAUUUUAUUUUUUAGUAAAAAAGCUGAAAUAAAAUUAAAAGACGAGAAGACCCUAUAAAUCUUUAUUAUUAAUUUAUUAAAAACUUUAUAGAUAUUUUUUUUUAGUAGUAGAUUAAUAAUUUUAUUGGGGUGAUAUUGAAAUUUAAUUAACUUUUAAUUAAUAUUAACAUAAAUUAAUGAAUUAUUGAUCCAUUAUUAAUGAUUAUAAGAAUAAGUUACUUUAGGGAUAACAGCGUAAUUUUUUUGGAGAGUUCUUAUCGAUAAAAAAGAUUGCGCC